CUCUGUUCUUCAUUUCUUCUUCUUUCUUUUCUCUUCACCGAAUGAGAGAGUGAGAUCAUGAGAUUGAGAGAGUGGAGAGAUAGAGAGAUGAGACCGAGAGAGAACCGAGAGAUGUGAGAGCCGAGAGAUGUUGAGAGAGAGAUGAGAUCGGGAGAGUUGAGGAGUGAUCGGAGCCCGAUCCUCCGGUGGGUGGCGCCGUCGAGUCCAGAGGACGCUGGCGACGCGAUCUCCGGUGAAGACCCAUGGAAACCGAGAGAGAGACCCGCGACCCGCGACCCAUGACCCGCUGAACCCGUGAGGAAGACCCGGUCCUCCAGGAGUGAUUUUCCGGCGAGUUUUCCGGCGACUGCCAGUGGCGUUUUCCGGCGGAUUUGUUGAGGAAAAUCCCCAAGGAUCGUGUUAUAAUUGGAGACUUCAAUGGGUUCUCCAAUGUAGAGUUCGAGUUGGAGUCCAAUGCAGCCGAGAUGAUGUUUCUUUGGCUGCAGGUACUUCGGUAUAGUCGAUGGGUCGGUAGCAGUGUGCUUGAGAUAUUAUGACUGAAGCUCGCCGCGACAGUUGUAAUUGUCGGACCACGGGUUGUCCACUAUUUUAUAGGUUUGGUAUGGCUUGUGACGUUUGUGUCACUUAUUCUUUGUUAAGCCAUUAUUGUUAUAGUGUUAAUAAGACUCAAACAGAUAAAUGUUAAAUGGCUCUUUGUUGUAAUUAACUUGUGAUAGAUAUAUAAGUUGUAAUUUUCGCUAUUCA